CAUUGUAAAGCUAAAUUAGCAUUAACCUUUUAAGUUAAAGACUGAGAGGACCCAUCUCUCUACAGUGA
rnacentral:tRNA from 1 species